UAGACUAAGGAGCCAUUUAAGUCCAGUGCUUUCCUUGAGUGGGGGCUGCAUUUUGCCCUUCAUAGUCAGCCACUCUUGGAAAAACAGGGGUCUUUAAGGAGUUACCUAUGUAUCUGUUACUUGUCCUGGAAGCUGGCAGAAGGAAGACAGCACAUUUAGAAGAAAAAUCUCUGGAAAGUAAAGUUGAAGAAAAAUACUUCCAAUCAUUUCUCUUGUGAAGACACAAGGAAAACGAGGGCCUACACACCACUCUCUGCCAGUGUUUGUCCUCUUUCCUAAAAGGAUCUUGAAGACUCAGAGUAGGAGGAAACAAGACAGUUCUUCCAAACUUUACUAUGGUCCUGCUGUGAUUUAAAUAAUAGCCAUUGGUGCCUUUUUAUCCCAGUUCUUUGAAAACCUGCCUAGAUUUUCCUCAAAAUCAGAGUGAGGCUGCUUAUUUGGGAAUAUCUUGCAAGAUGAUGUGAUGCAAUGGCUUCAUGUCUAAAUGAAAAUGAUCACAGGUACUGACAGAGGAACACCCACUGUGUAUAAGUCUAUUGGUGCUGAGAGAACCUGACAAUCAGCUUGUGACUGGCCAAGGCUUGUACCCUAAAUCUUACCCUUGGAAACACCUUGAAGGAUCUGAGAACAGCAGGAUUUGGACAGGAUGCACCCCCUGGCCUUCCCCCUCUUCCUAGACCAGAAAGCUGCACGGCUCACCUGUCA